AGAACGUGUAAAAACAUUAAUGGAUAGCAUACGGUCAUAGAUACAAUUUGGCUACAUAGACCUACAAACAUUUACAAUGAAUAGCAAUAUUACAAUAAUGGCUAUGUUGAGACCGACGGGAGCAAGGCUCUUUAAAUUAAAGAUCCAGACAACCUCACGUUUUAACCAGAAGGUCACCCCCUCUCCUAGGGAGGGUGAUGUGUUCGAUGCCGAUAUAAUUUAGGGACGAAAUCAAGGGUUUCGCUUCCAAAACGUUCUAAGAUAAAUAACUGCCUUAGUGGUGCAUGUGAUAACACCUUUGAUUGGGAUCUGUUUCCCUGUUUGGGGGUGUUUUUGGAGGAUCUAUAUUUGAGAGAGAUGUGACUAUCUUGGGUCCUCUGGGGAGUCUCAACAACAUCAUGAUGCUGAAGAGGCAGAGAAGAGUCUCUCCAGAUCAGAACACCCCAAGAAACACCAGCAGAGACCCACAUUGAAGAAUCCUUACUGCUGCUCUGACUGUGAGAAGAACUGCAAAUCUAAAUCAGAACUUCAAAUCCACCAGAGAAUCCACACAGGAGAAAAAACGUAACACUGCUCUCAUUGUGGAAUGAGUUUCUCUAGAUCAUAUUCAUUGAAAACACACCUGCUAAUUCACACAGGAGAGAAAUCUUAUAGCUGUACUCAAUGUGGGAAGAGUUUUACUCCAUCUUCCAAUCUGACUAAACAUCAGAAAACACACACAACAGAGAAACCUUAUAGCUGUGAUCAAUGUGGGAAGAGUUAUGUUACAUCUGGCUACCUGACUGUACACCAGAGAACACACACAGGAGAGAAAUGUUUUAGCUGUACUCAAUGUGGGAAGAGUUUGGUUUAAUCUACGUGUCUGACAGUACACCAGAGAACACACACAGAAGAGAAACCUCUUUGCUGUGACCAGAGAUAAUCGGAUAAAAGCUCGCAGAUCAAAUAUCAGAAAGUACAUACACAAAGGAGUUGUUUCAUGAUAUCAAUGAAUUAAUGUCACAAUGCAAAAUGUUUUAACAAUGUACUAGGAGUAUUUUAAUAAUGUCACAAUGUAGAACCCUAAACGUUUGCCCCUUUAUCAAUUGAUUUCAACAUGAUAUGGAUAUUAGCCUCAGGGGAAAAUUCCAGGCUCUGAAUUGAAAGUUGUUGUGUUACACUUAACACGUUGGUGACCCACUGGAAUCAAAAUGCAGCUAGCUGUUUACCACAAGUUGUCCUCUAACGAGUGAUGUUUACAUUAUUCCCAGAUUCCGUGUGGUUUUUGAGCUGUUAGUUUUAACAGGACGUGCAACCUCAUCUCCCUCCUCUCGCACAUUUGAUUUCAACGUGAUAUCGAUGAGUAAUGACAUAAGUGUUGCGUUCCUUUGUUUAAAUGCAUCACUCCAAAAUGUAGCUGACUGUCUUCUGCACGUUGUCCUCUAAUCAGUGAGGUAAAAUACAUCUCCCAUUUCCAUGUUUUUUUUGUUGUGUUAGUUUCAACAGCACGUACAACCUAAUCGAUAUCAGUGAUUUAUUGCUACUUGUCAAAACAACAGCGUUUCUGGUGCUUGUGCAGUUUAUAAGGAACUUGUUUAAAUGAAUACAAGUAAUAUGAUUAUUGUUGCAGAUGUUUGUGGUUAUAGCCCAUUUUAUGCUUAGGUUUUCAAUUUAUCCCAAACUGUUUCUGCGUAUUGGUUAUUGAUUUGGACACGUUAAAACUGUGUUUUGACAUCGGGCUAUCCCACUUAGCAAAAUGUAAUUGAAAAGACGUUGAAAGGAAGACUAUUCCCAACGUCCAAUAUGCGUUCGGUUGAAUGUAAAAGUUGAAAGUAUUUUCGGGUAGGUUUUUCAGUCAUUUCAGUCAUUUCUUCUAGUGGUUAGAGCGUUGGGCCGUCAUUGUGAGACAGAAUUAGGUCUUAACUGACUUAUUUACAAUGACGGCCUACCAGGGAACAGCGGGUUAACUGCUUUGUUCAGGUGCAGAAGGACAGAUUUUUACCUUGUCAGCUUGUUACAUGAAGGUUAAAAUGAAUAAAUACACAUGGAAGCAGUAUAAUAAAUUGCUCUAUAAUCAAUUUCAUUAACAAUCUUACAUCACUCCAGUAUUUCUUGACAACAUUCAAGUGCCAAUUGUCUUUAUUCCACAACUGAAGAAGCAUGACUCAAAUCACCUCAUAUUUCAACAAAUUCUGGCUGACAAAAUAGACAUUUUUAUUAUUCCAUGCCUCACCAUUAAGUUCAUUAUUGCCAACACAUAAUAAAAGGGGUGUACAUUUGAUCACAAUUUAUUUUGACUGCACGUUUUUCCGUAUUGGAGAUGAGUUUUGUUUGGACUCGUUCCAAGUGGAAUAGAAGCUAGUGAGUUGUAGGUAGAUGAGAGUUCUAGAAGCUAGUGAGUUUAAGGAAGACGAGAGUUCUCGGAUUCUAUAGAAAGAAAAGGGAGAAAAGAUACGGUUGUAUAUUAUUAUUUAGAAGUGCCUGUUUUUAUCUUGUUUUUAAUUGUUGACAGCCAGUAGACACCAUGUUUAUAUUGGUGAAAGUGAAGCAUUGUAGUUGAUUAGAAUGUGAAAUGGAAGUUGUUUUCAGUUGGUGGUAAGCAAACUUGUCCAACAAAAAUAUAGGAUAUAUUUGUUGUCUUAAGGGGGAAGGUAGUUACAGGCUUUGGUUUUUCCAUUUAGGUUUUGAGGUUUGACUUUAGCACGUAUAGCUCGGUUGCUUCCUGUCUUUAAGUUUGG